AAAGAAAAAUAAAAUAAAAUAAAAAGUUGGGAACACACAUCAGCCAAAUGAUGCACUCCCAAUAUCAGAGGUGCUUUUCUUAUUAAAGCUAAAGAGAUGUAUCCCGGUGUUCAUAGACAGCCGACUCAGUUCUGUUGACAGAUUCUUCUCAACCAGAAAACAAAAGAAAAAUGAUUUGAAAAUCUACAGGAAGUUUCUCACGUCUAACGACUUCGCAUCCACCAUUUCCUCGUCUUUAAACUCCUCACGCUUCUUUUGAGUUUCCAUUGCCUCAACAGCAUCUUUCUUCAGCUCUUCCAACUGUGCCUUGGAAAUUUUAAGUUCCAACUGCUCCUCGUACUUGGGCAGAUCUUCCCUUCGAAUCCCAAGCUUUUGAUUGAUUUUGUCAAACUCAGCCAUAAGAAUAGACAUUCCUUUCUUGUCAUUCCUCAAGAGAGGUUUCUUCAAUUCUUUCUCAACCUUUUCCAGAGCAUCAAACAUCAUAGCUUCUGCACCAAGGUCGUCAGUGAGACCUCUCUUAAUCCGG
rnacentral:misc_RNA from 1 species